UACGGAGGGUGCAAGCGUUAUCCGGAUUCACUGGGUUUAAAGGGCGCGUAGGUGGCGACCCAAGUCCGUGGUGAAAGCUCGUCGCUUAACGACGAGUCGGCCACGGAGACUGGGUGGCUCGAGCACUGUAGGGGCAGAUGGAAUUCCGGGUGUAGCGGUGGAAUGCGUAGAGAUCCGGAAGAACACCAGUGGCGAAGGCGGUCUGCUGGGCAGUUGCUGACACUGAGGCGCGACAGCGUGGGGAGCAAACAGG
rnacentral:rRNA from 1 species